AGCGGCGGACGGGUGAGUAAUACAUCGAGACGUACCUUGUAGUGGGGGAUAACUCAUCGAAAGAUGGGCUAAUACCGCAUGAGCUCUGAGGAGGAAAGGUGGGGCCCAGAAAUGGCCUGUUGCUAUAAGAGCGGUCGAUGGUCGAUUAGCUAGUUGGUUGGGUAAAGGCUGACCAAGGCGAUGAUCGAUAGCUGUUCUGAGAGGAAGAUCAGCCACACUGGGACUGAGACACGGCCCAGACUCCUACGGGAGGCAGCAGUGGGGAAUAUUGGACAAUGGGGGCAACCCUGAUCCAGCAACGCCGCGUGAAUGAAGAAGGCCUUAGGGUUGUAAAGUUCUUUUGUCCGAGAGCAAAUCGUGUGGGGUAAUAUAUCACAUGGAUGAGAGUAUCGGAAGAAUAAGCACCGGCUAACUACGUGCCAGCAGCCGCGGUAAUACGUAGGGUGCGAGCGUUAAUCGGAAUUACUGGGCGUAAAGAGUGCGUAGGCGGAGAUACAAGUUAGAUGUGAAAUCCCCGAGCUUAACUUGGGAAUUGCAUUUAAGACUGUAUGUCUAGAGUUAGUAAGAGGAUGGGAGAAUUCCGAGUGUAGCAGUGAAAUGCGUAGAGAUUCGGAGGAAUAUCGGUGGCGAAGGCGCCCAUCUGGGAUAUAACUGACGCUGAGGCACGAAAGCGUGGGGAGCAAACAGGAUUAGAUACCCU
rnacentral:rRNA from 1 species